CCAGAGCCCGACGCGGGGCUCGAACUCACGGACCGCGAGAUCGUGACCCGGCUGAAGUCGGACGCUUAACCGACUGCGCCACCCAAGCGCCCCGGUAAAACAUUUUUUUAAGAAGAUGUGUGGGGCAGCGCUUGGGUGUCUCAGUCAGUGGUUUUGGCUCAGGUCAUGAUCUCACAGUUCUUGGGAUCCAGCCCUGAGUCAGGCUCCACCCUGAGCUUGGAACCUGCUUGAGAUUCAUUUUCUCUCUCUCUCUCUCUCUCUCUCUCUCUCUCUCUCUCUCUCUCUCUCUCUCUCUGCCCCUCCCUUGCUUAUGCUUUCUCUUGCUCUCUAAAAUAAAAAAAGAUGGGCAACUUAAGUGAAAUAUACCUACAGAAAAGAGCAAGGAAUAUACAUUAAAAUAAAUCUAAAGCAACCAUUCAUGAAACCACGACCCAGGUAAGAAGUAGCAUAUUAGCCAGCACCUAAAAACCUUACUCCGUAUAUCUCUCCAUGGUCAUAAUUCUUCGUCCUCCAGAAGUAUUUUAUACUCAUUUUUGAGAUAAUUAUUUCUUUAUAAUUUUGCCUCCUUGUUCCUACAUUUGUAUCCCAAAUUGCAUAGUUUAUUUUGUGUCUAUUUUUGAACUUGAAUAAGUGGAACCACCAUUUGUAUUUUUCUGCUUAAUUCUUGUUUUUAGGAGAUUAUUCUCCUUCAUUGUUUUAUUAAUACAAUGCCGUUCUACAGCUAUCCCACAGUUUAUCCAGUCUGCCAAAGGUGGACUUAGCCGGUUCCCAUUCAGGGCUGACAUGAAUGGCGGUGCUGCUCUUACCAUUCUAGUGCACCUGCAUUUGUUUCUCCAGGGUGUAGAUGCCAGAGUGAAACUGUGGAUGUUUUUCCGCAUUGUCUCCAAUGCUUUGGUAUCACAAGGAACUUAAUUUUUGCCAAUCUGGUGGGUGUGAAAUGGUAUCCGAUUGUGGCUUUUGAUUUGCAUUUCCCUGAAUACUAAUAAGGUUGAGUGCCUUUUCAUUUAUUUAUUAGCCAUUGAGGGAGAGUACAGGAAGGAGAGGCAGAGACACAGAAUCUGAAUCAGGCUCCAGGCUGUGAGCUGUCAGCACAGAGCCCGAUGGCUGGGCUCGAACCCCUGUGAACCGCGAGAUCAUGACCUGAGCUGAAGUCAGACGCUUAACUGACUGAGCCACCCAGGCGCCCCUAGAUUUCUACUUUUGUUAAAUGCCUGUUCCAAGUCUUUCACUCAUUUGUCUAUUAGGUUGUCUGUUUCUUAUUUGCUUGGGCGUUCUAUGAGUUUUUAUAUGCAUGUAUAUGUUUGUAUUCUAGAUACUAUUUGUCAUUUAUGUGUGUUGCAAAUACCUCAUUCUGUGACUUCUUUAUGAUCUGUUUUAAUGAUUAGAAUUCUUAAUGUAGUUAAAUAUGUCUUUCCUCUUAGGCUUAGAGGAAAUCCUAUCUUUCUGUGUCUUAUUUGUAAAUAAGACUACUCUAUCUCAAGGUCAUGAGAUUCUCUAUGAUCUUCUAGGAGUUUCUAAAGCUUUGCCUUUCAUAUUUAUUCACCUGGACACCUGGACCUUCUUUUUAGGGUGAUCUAGAGAGGUCAAAUUCCUCCCACUACCCCAGCCCCCGGACAUGGCUAGAAAGUUCUAACAUUUCUUCUUUUGCCAUGUAAGGACUACUAUAAACUACUUCAUCUUCUCACUCUCACUUCAUACAAAGACAUCUUAAUAUGCAAACAUGAGAAGAGCGUAGGGUCAGAGUAAAGGAGAAUCCUUUAAACCAAAUAAUUGAGUUGUACUGAUUAAUUUGUCUAUAUUUUUCUCAUUUUGUUACAGGUUCUGUGCACUGGUUUAUGGAGAUGGAUGAAGGAACCUUAUUUUUUUUUAAUCUGAAGGGCUGACAUUCCCCAAGUCUAAAAAUCACAUAAGUGUCCAGUGUUUUCCAGAACUCUCCCAGGCAGCCACAAACUCUCAGGACUUUUAACACAUCAGAGACACACUGGCCUCCAGAGACCCAAGAUUUGUGCCUCUUUAGCUACUCGCACUGGGAAGCCCCUCUUAAGAUUAACCCAAGUCCCUCAUACUGCAUUUUAAACUCCAGCUGCUCCCCAUCAAAUAUUUAAGGGCCUACUAUGUACACACGUGGUGCCUGGCCCUUUGGAGCCCGCUGUUCAGCAGGGACAGGUGAGCAGUUAUCACAGAGGGCAAAAAGGGCCAGGGCAAAGGCCAGGAUGUGUUUAAGCCCAUUAAGGUGGCCAGCUGCUUUCUGAACAGGGACGAGUCAAAGUCUCUUCCCCUGGGAGCCUAAGUUGAGACCUGAAGGCUAAGUGAGAGUCGUUGGGGGUAAGGUGGGAGUCAGGUGCAGUGAUGGGAGAGGCUGUAGAGGACUCCGGGGCUGGGAGAUCAGCACAGGCAGACUUGGAAGCGGUGAAUGUUCUUCGGUGUGGCUGGGCCCUCCACGGCUAGGUCGGGAUGGGGAGAGCCCUGUCAGCCGGCAGAAGGGGGAUAGACUCGGAGAAGGCAGGGGAAAACCUGGAAGGGCUUGGCUGCGGGCACGAGGCAGGUCGGGUGCUGCGGAUUAGAAAGUUGGUUGAGAAGGACUCACACCCUCUUUCGCCCUGCCCUUGGCCACACAUUCAGUGAUGUUUAUCGGAACCCAGCAGCCACCCUGCCCUUUCCUCAGCAGUCCAAUCUCCCAGCUUUCCGCCGACUUUAAAUCACAUUCGCUCCAAACAAUAGGCCCAAGAACAAAACUCCUGUGACUGCCGCUCUCCGUCAAAAAGCGGUCACUGUGAGAACGUGUUUUCCGUGGAUUUUGCCAGAGUUUAGCGGCGCUUGUCAGUGAAAAGCAAGUCUGAGAGAUUGGGGAGACCAUGGGGGCCACUCCAGCGUCUCAGUUACUCUUCUGGCCGAGUGAAGACCCAGGAGACCUGCCCCACCAGCGCGGUGUAGAAAACUCACUUUUUCUUCACACACUUGACAAGCAGGGAGUACUUUGUAUGCUCAGAAAGUCCAUCUGCAGUCAUCAUCUGGAUUUUCGUUUCUAUUUGUUCCAGUCCAUGGAUUUUUUUUUUUUUUUUUUUUUUUUUUUACCCCCCGAUCAACUUUCCCAGAAGGCAGUGCUUUGCUCUGGGGAAUGGUUAGGUCAAAGUCGGAUAGCAGAGGAUUUGAAAAGUAGCCUCUCCACGUGCCCCUCCUGGCUGUGCCCUAGAUGAUGGUCCCUCAGCAGCACUUCCUAGAAACCACUGAGACUGAAGUUAAACUACACCAUCCUCAGCUGCAGUGACCCGGAACUGGCCCUUUGUGCAAGGUCAUCCAUGAGACACCAAUGCCUCCGUGCCCUCAAUAGGUCAUUCACUCCCACUAAAUGCUUUUACAGUGGAAAUUCCCAGGUUAAGUUUCACAGGUAAAGGUGAAUAUUUUGUGUGUGUCACCCAUGGUAUGGUUGUUCAAAAUCACAGGGCCAGCAGGACUGGAAUUUUUUCAUCUUACAUAUUUUCCCACCUUUGAAGUAUUAGUGAUAGCUCCCUCGUUUUGAGACUCCAGGUUUAAAAAAUUUUUAUUCUGUGUGCCAUGAAUUCCACUCCUUUGAGCAUCUGGGCUUAAUGAAUCCUUAGCAUUUUUCUUUGGGGGCUUUGUUGGAAAUGAAGGAUACUCUCCACUACUUCUCUGGUUGGAAGAUAUGUGUUUUAUUCCCUUCUAAGUUAUCAGGCUAAAUCCUGUGACCUUUCUCCCUUGAAAAGCAGGCAGUGUUUCCAAAAUUUCUAACAUAAUUCCUCGGGAAUGUGGAAUGGGUUUCCUUGUGGACAGUGUUGUUUAUAGGGUCUCUGUCUCCAUUCAUAGAAACCUGCAUGUCAGAGAGACAGCGUAUAUAUGAAAACAUAGUAUAAAGGUGCUAGAGAACCGAAAUGCUCUCGGUAGCAGCCCCCCAAACCUGACGGCUAAAAACAGCUCCCCUCGGCUGCAGCCCCAGCAGCAGCAAGUAAGGAUGCACUCAGUCACAAACCGACUUACUAGGGUCCUGUCUGGAGUCCAGAAGACAAGAGGAGACCUCUAAAAUUUGAUAUAAAGUGAUGAGUGUCUUGAGAGGUCCACUAAAGUGCCAUGGCAGUCCUUUCUGCUGGGACAAUCAGAGAAGGCUUCCUGGAGGUGUUAUGGAACCAGGCUGGAACGAUGGCGGAAGAAGCAAGCGGCACUCGGAGAUCUUGGUGGAUUGGAGAUUUAUUUUACACCGGCGGGCUCAGAGGAGACUGUUUCUCCAAAGGUCUGAGCCCGGAAUGCAAGUCGGGAGGGUAAUUUAUAGCCGACAACGUCCAUAUCUGUGGGGGGUUUUGCCCACACAGCAAACAAAGGAAGAAGAACCCAGAGGAGGGGUCUCUAAGCUGGAGACCAGAGUUUGUUUUAGCCCCGUCGGCCAUCUUUGGCGUACUUGACUUCUCCAACAGAGGAAGUGGCAUUUGCUCUGUUUCUUGAGUGAAGAAGGUGCCCUUUUAAAAAGCAGGAUCCCAGUCACUAACACAGGAAUGAACAUUUUUAUGGCCCUGUACCUUAAUUAGGGGAGAGCAUCGAAGUCAUUUUAAAUGGACUUAAUCUCAUCCUAAGCCUGGCCAACAUUCCAUUCCUAAGGGUUUACAUCAAGGAAGUCAUCCAAAAGGGGGAAAAAGUUUUUCCCAUGCUGGUUUGAGAACAUGGAAAAAUGAGUUGAUUUUGGAGAUCAAUGACACUUUGGUGAUUUUCUUCUGCUAAUGAAUGGUAAUGUGUUGGAGAGGACAAUCCAAGCAGUGAUCAGGGUAGAGAAGACAUUACACAUAAGUAAAAGCCUCUCGCUUUGCCUGUGUCUUUCUUUUUUUCCCAUUAGGCCCUGAACACAUCUCCGUCACCACUCUUAAUGUUCUGGGGGUAAUAACUAUCUAGUAUUAUAAUAGAUGGUGCGGGGGAGGGGCUGGCGCAUAGUAGGCACUUGAUGAAUAUUGUGACAUCCCUUCCAGUGCAAGGCUCUCUGGUUACAGUUUACCAACCCCAGGGUAACUGAUGUACGUACUGAAACAGCAAAAGGAGCUAAGGAAGCAAAAUAAAGCAGCACUUUCAACUAUUUCUAUUUUACAAAGUGCUUGGUGAAACUGUAAAAGGAUAUUUAGUACCACAAAAAGUAGGCCAAGGGUAAGAAAAACUCUCCAUACCCAAGAGGAUUCAGCUGACCAAAUUAAGUCUGAUCCAGAAUAAACAGUUCUCAUCUGGAAAUCUAGCAGUUCCAGAAAGUACUGUCCAAGUGGAAAAAGGCCCACGAUGCUGGUCUGCAUAAUUAUGUAACCCUUUAGGAAAGGGGAAGGAAGUGCCACCAUCCUGGGGUACAUGGGGAAAAGCAACCGUGAGAAAAUAAUAGUACUCAGGCCUCAAAGAAGGGGAUUGUGUUAUUAGAGAAACCAGGCCCAUAAGCCCUUUCUCAUGAACUUGACCAACUUUGGUCAUUUUUCCCUGUGCCUACCCAGUGUCCAAAACCUAAAACAAGGUUCCUAUUAUCCAAUCCGUCCAACAGAAAUAACUGUCAAAUAGGCACGUGAAUAGCACUGCAUGUGAAGGAACUCGUUUGAAAUGAGACACGAGCUCAGCUGCAACGGUCAAGACCAGUCACGUCUGUGCUUUCUCUGGAAAAGCAUGAUCAUCGCCCCUUUGAAGAUCACUUAAAAACAUCAAACAAACUAGAUCCCAGAUGAUGUUAUACCAACCUUUCAUUCCUGGGAUAAAAUCUCCUUGGCCAAAUUCUUUUUAUAUGUUG